GAGCUUCUAGCCUGCAAGAUACUGAGCUUUCCCGAGACCUCCUGUCACAGUGUUUUGCUGUAUGAUUUCCAAGGUGGCUCUGCUGUUUGGACCAACUGUUCAGCAUAUCUUCAGCCAGAAAUUUAAUAUGAGGUGAGAAUUAAAAUGAAUGUCCACAAGAGAAGAGGAUAAACACAAGGGAGAUGGUCCACCAUGUGAAACUUCCAAUGCUGAACAGCGGAUUAAGAUGCUUUUUCACAACCUACUUCACAACCUUGAAGCAACUGAGAAAAGUUACAUUUCUACUGUCUAGAGAAUGAGAACAUUUACUCUAGUCUUCAUCAGAACAUCUCCCAUUUACUGAACUACUGUAGGAGCUGGUUGUCUAAAAAGCAACCCAUCGAACAGCAAUUGAUUACUGCUCUUUAAGGAGAAGGAAGCAUAGAAGUGCCAUCUUCCUGCAUGGUUUUAUCAAAGCAGUUCUCAGACUGAUCAGCUCUGGGUCAGAGCUAGGAAGCAGGAUAGCCCACACAACUAACGUGCUGUGAUACGAUGUACUCUACACAAAGAAGCAAUUCAGAUGCAUGGAGUUUUGCAAUGGAAAGGUUGAUGAGUCUGUCAACAGUUUAUGGGAUCAAAAAGGAAGUCACCAAGGAAGACACAGUGACAGGAGUCUGCUAUGAACUGCCUAGACAAGAAAAAGAAAUGUCAACACUCCUGAAGACACCAGACAGUAUCUGUGGGACAGACUGAAGAUGCAUCCUUCUUUCAGCGAAGCAUACACAGAAAGCAGAGGAUAAGAAACCAGUGACAUGAACUCGUUUGUGAUAGGCUCCUCAUAUACCUUUCCAAUGUGGUCUGCAACAAUGGAGUAGUGGAAAUUUUAUGAAGAAGCCCACAAACUUCUCAAC